rnacentral:rRNA from 1 species
AUAAGCCAUCUUCGGAUGGUGGACAGUGGCAGACGGGUGAGUAACGCGUGGGAAUAUACCCAGAGGUACGGAACAACGCCGGGAAACUGGUGCUAAUACCGUAUACGCCCUUCGGGGGAAAGAUUUAUCGCCUUUGGAUUAGCCCGCGUUAGAUUAGCUUGUUGGUGAGGUAAAAGCUCACCAAGGCGACGAUCUAUAGCUGGUCUGAGAGGAUGAUCAGCCACACUGGGACUGAGACACGGCCCAGACUCCUACGGGAGGCAGCAGUGGGGAAUCUUGCACAAUGGGCGAAAGCCUGAUGCAGCCAUGCCGCGUGAGUGAUGAAGCCUAGGGUUGUAAAACUCUUUCAGUGGGGAAGAUAAUGACGGUACCCACAGAAGAAGUCCCGGCUAACUCCGUGCCAGCAGCCGCGGUAAUACGGAGGGACUAGCGUUGUUCGGAAUUACUGGGCGUAAAGCGCGCGUAGCGGACUGAUCAGUUGGGGGUGAAAGCCCGGGGCUUAACCUCGGAACUGCCUUCAAUACUGUCAGUCUAGAGUCCGAGAGAAUUU